rnacentral:rRNA from 1 species
AAUCAACGCUGGCGGCGUGCCUAACACAUGCAAGUUGAGCGCUUGAGGGGGCAACCCCCAAGAGAGCAGCGAACGGGUGAGUAACGCGUGGGUGAUCUUCCUUCGAGUGGGGAACAACAUCGGGAAACUGGUGCUAAUUCCGCAUAAUAUCCUCGGGCCACGAGCCUGGGAUCAAAGCCGGGGACCGCAAGGCCUGGCGCUUGAAGAUGAGCCCGCGUCCGAUUAGCUAGUUGGCGGGGUAAUGGCCCACCAAGGCUCCGAUCGGUAGCCGGCCUGAGAGGGCGGACGGCCACACUGGAACUGAGACACGGUCCAGACUCCUACGGGAGGCAGCAGUGGGAAUUUUCGCAAUGGGCGCAAGCCUGACGAAGCAACGCCGCGUGGAGGAUGAAGGUCUUCGGAUUGUAAACUCCUGUCGACCGGGACGAAUGCACUCGACCUAAUACGUCGGAAUGUUGACGGUACCGGUGGAGGAAGCCACGGCUAACUCUGUGCUAGCAGCCGCGGUAAU